UCAGAUUCUUUCAUCUCAGCUGGGAGAAAAGAGAUAUUUUUGCUCAUUUAAAAGAAACCUAGAGAUACUUAAUCCAUAUGCACAGAAAGAAUGAGGAUACUAACUCUAAAAUGUCUCAUAAUCAGGCUCAUUCAAUAGGUCAAGUUGGUUGCAGACUUAGAUUUGAAUAUUGGGGUGAUAACAUCUAGGGCGCUAGAAAGGAACUAGUGGGGAUUGUACUUGACCAAAAAGCAUUGAAUUAUGUCCUCUCUGAAGUUUUUGUGUCUUUUUCUCUUUUUUUAAAAAAAGCAUAAAAAUAACACCUGAUGUAAUGGAACAAUAGCUUGGAACUCCUGCUGGUGCUUGAGUGCAUCUCCAGAGAGUACUUUGAAAUAUCACUGCAUACUCAGCAUUUGAGAAACUGAAACUGAUUUGAGAAAAAUUGCUGCUUCAGUGGGCCAUGGUACUCAGCAAGUUUCCCCAAGUGCCUGGCAGCUGUCAUCACUAAUGUGACAUUGUUCGCCGACUGCACACAGGAACUCUUCGCCUGGCGCGCCAGCCACAAAGACGAUGGAGCCCGUGUCCGGGCACUCUUCCUUAUAGGUUGGGCUUAGAAAUCAUGUUCUUAUUUAGAUUCCGCUCACUUCCCUCUCUUUUUCUUCUUCUCAGUUUCAUCAUUCAAAAAGCCAUGUGAAUUUCACACUACCUAAAUGAAGUUUUAAAAUUAUCCAAUUCCACCAAAAUUUAUUCAGAAUCUAGUGUGUGCCAGGCAUUUUGUUAAGCACUGGGUAUGAACAACUAAAUAAAAUACUCCAGAAUCUGAUAUGUUAGAAGGAAUUUAGAAAAGUAAAUACAUAGCUGUAAUAAAAUUAGGAUCGGUCCCACGAUAGGAUUGUUUUUAAAAUGUGAGUGUAUAAGUGAGCAAGAUUAAUUUCAUUGGGUAGUGAGAAGAUAGGGAGAAACCAGAGAAUUGUAAAUACAUUUGAUCUGGUACUUGAAAGAGGUCAUGUAGACCAGAAAAGGAAAGAUACCCAGAUACCUCAAGGUGAGGAACUAGCACUAGGAAGAAGCACGCUGUGUUCAAGUUCUUUGCCCAAGUGACUAUGCACUUGUUAUGGAACAGGCCCUUUAUGUCUAGUUAUGUGGGACUGCUGGUGCCAGAAAGAGUCUGUAUGUAAGGGACAUGGAUGAAGCUGAAACCAUCAUUCUAAGCAAGCUAUCACAAGGACGGAAAACUAAACACCACAUGUUCUCACUCACAGGUGGGAGUUGAACAACGAGGACACAUGGAUACAGGGUGAGGAACAA